AGCAAACAAUUUGUGUGUUGGAUGGUGUGUUUGCAUUUGUUUUACUGGAUUCUGCCAAUAAGAAAGUGUUCCUGGGCAGAGAUACAUGAGGAGUCAGACCUUCGUUUAAAGCAGUGACAGAAGAUGGAUUUUUGGCUGUAUGUUCAGAAGCUAAAGUUCUGGAGGCCACAAGUCCAAAAUCAAGGUGUGGGCAGAAAUGCGCUCCCUCUGCAGACUCUUGGGGAGGAUCCUUGCUUCUUCCAGGUCUGCGACUGUGGUUCCUGCAGCCACUGGAACCAGCUCUGCACAGCUCAGACCUGAGUGAUGAGGACACAGCUUCGCAGGUGGGCAGCCACAUCCCCAGGGGGAGCCUGUGGGCCUGUGGCAGGGUUGGGGCAGGCAGGGCACGGGCUCCCCAUAGUCCCCAUUGUUGCCCCUGAGCUCCUGGGGCUUGUGGAGAAAGACGGGUGGAGGCGCACAUAAAUGCAGCUCCCUGGAUCUGAG
rnacentral:lncRNA from 10 species